CCUACGGGAGGCAGCAGUGGGGAAUAUUGGGCAAUGGGCGCAAGCCUGACCCAGCCACGCCGCGUGAAGGAAGAAGGCAUUCGGGUUGUAAACUUCUUUUAAGAGGGACGAGCAGACGACGUUACCUCUUGAAUAAGCCACGGCUAACUAAGUGCCAGCAGCCGCGGUCAUACGUAGGUGGCAAGCGUUGUUCGGAUUUACUGGGUGUACAGGGCGUGUAGCCGGGCUGACAAGUCAGAUGUGAAAUUCCGGUGCUCAACCCCGGACCUGCAUUUGAUACUGUUGGUCUUGAGUAUCGGAGAGGCAGGCAGAAUUCCGAGUGUAGCGGUGAAAUGCGUAGAUAUUAGGAGGAACACCGGUGGCGAAGGCGGCCUGCUGGACGACAACUGACGGUGAGGCGCGAAAGCGUGGGGAGCAAACAGGAUUAGAUACCCGGGUAGUC
rnacentral:rRNA from 1 species